rnacentral:rRNA from 2 species
GCUUGCAUCUUGAUUUAAUUUUGAACGAGUGGCGGACGGGUGAGUAACACGUGGGUAACCUGCCCUUAAGUGGGGGAUAACAUUUGGAAACAGAUGCUAAUACCGCAUAAAUCCAAGAACCGCACGGUUCUUGGCUGAAAGAUGGCGUANGCUAUCGCUUUUGGAUGGACCCGCGGCGUAUUAGCUAGUUGGUGAGGUAACGGCUCACCAAGGCAAUGAUACGUAGCCGAACUGAGAGGUUGAUCGGCCACAUUGGGACUGAGACACGGCCCAAACUCCUACGGGAGGCAGCAGUAGGGAAUCUUCCACAAUGGACGCAAGUCUGAUGGAGCAACGCCGCGUGAGUGAAGAAGGCUUUCGGGUCGUAAAACUCUGUUGUUGGAGAAGAAUGGUCGGCAGAGUAACUGUUGUCGGCGUGACGGUAUCCAACCAGAAAGCCACGGCUAACUACGUGCCAGCAGCCGCGGUAAUACGUAGGUGGCAAGCGUUAUCCGGAUUUA